rnacentral:rRNA from 1 species
GAUGAACGCUGGCGGCGUGCCUAAUACAUGCAAGUCGAGCGAAUGGAUUAAGAGCUUGCUCUUAUGAAGUUAGCGGCGGACGGGUGAGUAACACGUGGGUAACCUGCCCAUAAGACUGGGAUAACUCCGGGAAACCGGGGCUAAUACCGGAUAAUAUUUUGAACUGCAUGGUUCAAAAUUGAAAGGCGGCUUCGGCUGUCACUUAUGGAUGGACCCGCGUCGCAUUAGCUAGUUGGUGAGGUAACGGCUCACCAAGGCAACGAUGCGUAGCCGACCUGAGAGGGUGAUCGGCCCAACUGGGACUGAGCCACGGCCCAGACUCCUACGGGAGGCAGCAGUAGGGAAUCUUCCGCAAUGGACGAAAGUCUGACGGAGCAACGCCGCGUGAGUGAUGAAGGCUUUCGGGUCGUAAAACUCUGUUGUUAGGGAAGAACAAGUGCUAGUUGAAUAAGCUGGCACCUUGACGGUACCUAACCAGAAAGCCACGGCUAACUACGUGCCAGCCGCCGCUGUAA